GCACUGCUGAUGAGUCCCAUAAUAGGACGAAACGGCCGUCCAGUGC
rfam:Schistosoma rodhaini strain Burundi genome assembly, scaffold: SROB_scaffold0012164